ACUAAUUUAGAGAGCAAAUGUAUAAAACGUGUAUUUAGUUGUAUUGUUGGCUUGUACCAUAGAGAAUGUAGUAUAUUUGUCAAUGCCAACUCAAAGCAGGUUGGUUGUUGCAAAGCUGUAUUGAGCUAAGGAAAGGCCACCUGUGGGUAAUUCGAAUCCACGGGAAGAAAUGAAAAGGAUCAAAAAUGUUCAUUAAGAAGGUUAAUAGGACAAACACUGUAUACACCUUUGGGCUUGUAACAAAAAUAGACAUAAAUAUAUUUAACGAUAAUAUCACAGAAAUGGGUAAAACGGAAUAAAGGAAUAUCGGGGCAACUUCUGUAUCUAACCAGGCUUAGGUGAGUGUAAAUCUGAAGUUAAGAUGUAGAUGAUGAAUAUAAGAACAACCACUAAGGAAAUAGUGAAGAACUAUUUAGAAAACUCUUAAAAACUAUAUUAGAAAAUAUUCACUAAAUACAUAAGAAAGCAGUAAAGGAGAAAGAGAGGAACAAAAAAAAAAUACAGCAGAUAGAAAACAAAAAGUAAGGGGCAGACAUCAAUCCAACCGUAUCAGUAACAUUGAACAUGGGUGGAUCAAACCAUCAAAAGGCAGAGCUAAUCAGACUGGAUUAAAAAA